rnacentral:tRNA from 2 species
GGAGAGGUGGCCGAGCGGUUUAAGGCGCACGCUUGGAAAGCGUGUUGAGGGAAACUUCACGCAGGUUCAAAUCCUGUCUUCUCCG